rnacentral:rRNA from 1 species
GUGGGGAAUAUUGGACAAUGGGCGAAAGCCUGAUCCAGCCAUGCCGCGUGUGUGAAGAAGGUCUUCGGAUUGUAAAGCACUUUAAGUUGGGAGGAAGGGUAGUAACCUAAUACGUUGCUACUUUGACGUUACCGACAGAAUAAGCACCGGCUAACUUCGUGCCAGCAGCCGCGGUAAUACGAAGGGUGCAAGCGUUAAUCGGAAUUACUGGGCGUAAAGCGCGCGUAGGUGGUUCAGUAAGUUGGAAGUGAAAUCCCCGGGCUCAACCUGGGAACUGCUUUCAAAACUGCUGAGCUAGAGUACGGUAGAGGGUGGUGGAAUUUCCUGUGUAGCGGUGAAAUGCGUAGAUAUCGGAAGGAACACCAGUGGCGAAGGCGACCACCUGGACUGAUACUGACACUGAGGUGCGAAAGCGUGGGGAGCAAACAGGAUUAGAUACCCCUGUAGUCC